UACGUAGGGGGCAAGCGUUGUCCGGAUUUAUUGGGCGUAAAGAGCUCGUAGGCGGCUCGGUAAGUCGGAUGUGAAACCUCCAGGCUCAACCUGGAGACGCCAUCUGAUACUGCCGUGGCUUGAGUCCGGUAGAGGAGCAGGGAAUUCCUGGUGUAGCGGUGAAAUGCGCAGAUAUCAGGAGGAACACCAGCGGCGAAGGCGGGUCUCUGGGCAGUAACUGACGCUGAGGAGCGAAAGCGUGGGGAGCGAACAGG
rnacentral:rRNA from 1 species